rnacentral:rRNA from 1 species
AGGAUGAACGCUGGCGGUCUGCUUAACACAUGCAAGUCGAACGGAGUAGCAAUACUUAGUGGCGGACGGGUGAGUAACGCGUGAGAAUCUACCUUCAGGACGGAGACAACAGUUGGAAACGACUGCUAACCCCCGAUGUACCGAAAGGGCAAAUAUUUAUAGCCUGAAGAAGAGCUCGCGUCCGAUUAGCUAGUUGGAGAGGUAAAAGCUCACCAAGGCGACGAUCGGUAGCUGGUCUGAGAGGACGAUCAGCCACACUGGGACUGAGACACGGCCCAGACUCCUACGGGAGGCAGCAGUGGGAAUAUUGCGCAAUGGGCGAAAGCCUGACGCAGCGACGCCGCGUGGGGAUGAAUGCCUUCGGGUUGUAAACCCCUUUCAGCAGGGACGAAGCGAAAGUGACGGUACCUGCAGAAGAAGCGCCGGCUAACUACGUGCCAGCAGCCGC